AAGUCGUAACAAGGUUUCCGUAGGUGAACCUGCGGAAGGAUCAUUAAAUGAAUAUCGAGCUUCACACGCUCGUUAUUCUCCACCCCUUUGUUAUAUCAAAUCUUUGUUUGCUUUGGCCAGCGCCUUUAGGGCCUGCCAGAGGACCGAAACCCUUAGAAUCUCUGCCGUCUGGGUACUAUAUAAUAGUUCAAAA
rnacentral:misc_RNA from 1 species